rnacentral:rRNA from 1 species
UACGUAGGGGGCAAGCGUUGUCCGGAUUUAUUGGGCGUAAAGCGCGCGCAGGCGGUCCUUUAAGUCUGAUGUGAAAUCCCACGGCUCAACCGUGGAAGGUCAUUGGAAACUGGGGGGACUUGAGUACAGAAGAGGAAAGCGGAAUUCCAAGUGUAGCGGUGAAAUGCGUAGAGAUUUGGAGGAACACCAGUGGCGAAGGCGGCUUUCUGGUCUGUAACUGACGCUGAGGCGCGAAAGCGUGGGGAGCAAACAGG